UACGGAGGGAGCUAGCGUUGUUCGGAAUUACUGGGCGUAAAGCGCACGUAGGCGGCUUGGCAAGUCGGAUGUGAAAUCCCUCGGCUCAACCAAGGAAGUGCAUCCGAAACUGUUGAGCUUGAGUACGAAAGAGGAUCGCGGAAUUCCCGGUGUAGAGGUGAAAUUCGUAGAUAUCGGGAGGAACACCAGUGGCGAAGGCGGCGAUCUGGGUCGAUACUGACGCUGAGGUGCGAAAGCGUGGGGAGCAAACAGG
rnacentral:rRNA from 1 species